CUUGAAUGGUCAGACUUUUACCGGAGCCUAAGAUGUCACUGCUCUGGUCCGAGGUCCAGGUGAUGUCAUCUUCUUCAGGGGUAUGGCAGACAGAUACGAUGUGAAUCACAGGAGCCCUGUGCCAGUCUCUGGGUAAGGACAUCUCCAAAGAGAGAACCACAGACUGUCUGGAGCUGAAGGAGACCAACCCUCUGAUAGUCUUCUUGUUUUGAAGCUGAGAAACCGGGGAUCCGAGAAGGAACACGACUUGUCUGGGUCAACAUUCAGCCAAGAUAUCCUUGGUACUUACCAGAGUUUCCAGGUGAAGCUGAUGUUGCUGGCCCAAGGACCACACUUUGAGAACUCCUGGUUUCACCUGUGUUCAGGGCCCGCUGCUCUGAAAAUCAAGAUGUUCUUUGGGAGAAGCCCAUAAAAUAUUGCUAUACCCACUAUGAGAAGUGAAAUGCAUCACUUUGUGCCCCAUCAGCCACCAUCUCAUAGUAAAACUCAAUCUAGAGCAGUAUCCAGGA